GAGAGCCUGGCUAGGCAGGCUGGAAACAGUAGCUCUUAACGGUCCCCCGCCCGUUGGUGGCAAGGCGGCUGGACUGGAAUCCCAGCAGGCGACAUGCGAGGAGGCGGGCAGCCCAGGAGGGUUGGACACGGCAAUGUGGACCUCGCCGCUUCCACAACGAUGCUGGCUACUGAUCGCGUGCACUUCCUUGCCAAAGAAAAGAAAUUAAUGUUAUGACUGGAUGAAGACAAUUGUGAAGAAACUGCACUUUGAGGUUGUCUAUCUCUGUAUUCUGAUGGAAAAGCGUGGAGUUUAGAAGCACUGCUCACUCCUUCAGUUUCUAACAAAUGUCUUCUGUACCCAGACUUCCCUGAGGGUAUGCUUUUUUGAUAUCAUUCCAGCAUCUGCACCGUGUUUUAUAUUUCGGACUAUGCUGCAUUUCAUCACAAUAAAUUCCUCUAGCUGUUUGGGGUGACAUAAACUACUGAAAGAGUGACUCCAGAAAGUGCUGCCAUCAAUAUCUGCAACUUGUAGGGUGUUUGGAUCAAUGAGGUGAAUGGCACUGGUUAUUCGAAUACACACACAAAUCUGGUUCAUAUUUCCCAGGCUUUGUGUCAGUUUUGGAGACAGACAGACAACAUAAUCCUGGCAUAUUGGAACAAUUUCCACAGAAAAAGUGCUUUUGUAAUUGUAUGUAUUACUAUGGACAUCCUGAGAGAUCAGUCUUUGGGAUGCGUUGUAUCUACAGGGAACUGUAUACUGAAUAAAUUCGACCAUCUUCUGAGCAUGUGGUUUUGAGGAAUAAUAAAAAUCCAGACCAUCAUGAAUCUCUUUGAUACGAAGUGUAUUCUGAUGCCUUCCAUAU
rnacentral:lncRNA from 1 species